CAACUCUGAACUAAUUUCUAGUCACUCUUUCUCUCUCUAAACUCAGUGACAUUCUCCUCCUUCUUGCUCUGCCUUCUCUCUACCCUUACACUCAUUUGAACCGUGAAAUUUCAAAUAGGUAGUGUGCUUUCGUUCACGGAGUUGAGAGCUUCCCAUUCAUCCGAUUGAAAUUCUGCUUUGGAUGAAUCCUGUUGAACUUGCUUCUGUGCAAGAAUACUGUUUUGGGGUUUCUUCUAAAGAGUGUUGUGCUUGUAACCACUAAGGUAUGUUUCCUAUUGCAAUGAUCAUCCUAAAUUGGAUGUGAGCAGAUGAAGAGGAGAUGUCUGUGGAGCAAGCGCUGGAAGAAGGUGAUGCUGCAACUUAGUAUGUCUAGGAUCUUGAUUAGUAGUAUUAUUCUGAUGAUAAUUCACAUUGGUCCUUAAUGUUUAAGAGACCAACUCUAAUUUUAUUUUGGAUGACUGUAACCAAUAUAAUCUGUUAUAUGUCUCUAACUGCUUUCCAAUAUUAUA